GAAAAUUGAGUUUGAUUUUCUAAGAAUUAUUGAAACUGGUUUGGUAUUGCAAAUACUAAUCUGAACUGGAUUGUAAGAAUUUUUUGCAUUGGACUGAAUAGGAUCUUAAAAUAUUUUUCAAAAUCUGUUUUUGAGUUUAAGAGAAAUUUUUUGUUUGACAUCUUAUGAUGUACAUGAUCUUGUGAUACUUGGUACCCAUUUGAGGGGGGGAUAUAUAAGGUUGUUAUAUAUCUGGCUAUUCAUCUAUAUUUUGUAUUUCAUCAUGUAUUU
rnacentral:lncRNA from 1 species